rnacentral:rRNA from 1 species
GCAAGUCGAGCGAGAAAGGGAACUUCGGUUCCCAAGUACAGCGGCGGACGGGUGAGUAACACGUGGGUAAUCUACCCUCGGGUGUGGAAUAACUCAGGGAAACCUGGGCUAAUACCGCAUGACAUUCUCAUUACAUACGUAGAGAGAAUCAAAGCUGGGGACCCUUUCGGGGGCCUGGCGCCUGGGGAGGAGCCCGCGGCCAAUUAGCUUGAUGGUGAGGUAACGGCUCACCAUGGCUUCGAUUGGUAGCCGGCCUGAGAGGGCGGAC